rnacentral:rRNA from 1 species
GUGCCAGCAGCCGCGGUAAUACGGAGGAUCCGAGCGUUAUCCGGAUUUAUUGGGUUUAAAGGGUGCGUAGGUGGUUUGAUAAGUCAGCGGUGAAAGUUUGCAGCUUAACUGUAAAAAUGCCGUUGAAACUGUCGGACUUGAGUGUAAAUGAGGUAGGCGGAAUGCGUGGUGUAGCGGUGAAAUGCAUAGAUAUCACGCAGAACUCCGAUUGCGAAGGCAGCUUACUAAGCUACAACUGACACUGAAGCACGAAAGCGUGGGGAUCAAACAGGAUUAGAUACCCUGGUAGUCCACGCAGUAAACGAUGAUUACUAGCUGUUUGCGAUACACAGUAAGCGGCACAGCGAAAGCGUUAAGUAAUCCACCUGGGGAGUACGCCGGCAACGGUGAAACUCAAAGGAAUUGACGGGGACCCGCACAAGCGGUGGAUGAUGUGGAUUAAUUCGAUGCAACGCGAAAAACCUUACCUACCCUUGACAUGUCUGGAAAGCCGAAGAGAUUUGGCCGUGCUCGCAAGAGAACCGGAACACAGGUGCUGCAUGGCUGUCGUCAGCUCGUGUCGUGAGAUGUUGGGUUAAGUCCCGCAACGAGCGCAACCCUUGUCAUUAGUUGCUACGCAAGAGCACUCUAAUGAGACUGCCGGUGACAAACCGGAGGAAGGUGGGGAUGACGUCAAGUCCUCAUGGCCCUUAUGGGUAGGGCUUCACACGUCAUACAAUGGUCGGGACAGAGGGUCGCCAACCCGCGAGGGGGAGCCAAUCUCAGAAACCCGAUCGUAGUCCGGAUCGCAGUCUGCAACUCGACUGCGUGAAGUCGGAAUCGCUAGUAAUCGCGGAUCAGAAUGUCGCGGUGAAUACGUUCCCGGGUCUUGUACACACCGCCCGUCACACCAUGGGAGUGGGUUUCACCAGAAGUAGGUAGCCUAACCGCAAGGAGGGCGCUUACCACGGUGGGAUUCAUGACUGGGGUGAAGUCGUAACAAGGUAACC